GACGAACGCUGGCGGCGUGCUUAACACAUGCAAGUCGAACGCUGAAGCUCAGCUUUUGUUGGGUGGAUGAGUGGCGAACGGGUGAGUAACACGUGAGUAACCUGCCCCCUUCUUUGGGAUAACGCCCGGAAACGGGUGCUAAUACUGGAUAUUCACUGGUCUUCGCAUGGGGGUUGGUGGAAAGGGUUUUUCUGGUGGGGGAUGGGCUCGCGGCCUAUCAGCUUGUUGGUGGGGUGAUGGCCUACCAAGGCUUUGACGGGUAGCCGGCCUGAGAGGGUGACGGGGCACAUUGGGACUGAGAUACGGCCCAGGGUCCUACGGGAGGGCGCAGUGGGGGAGAUUGCACAGUGGGCGCAAGCCUUAUGAAGCGCCGCCGCGGGAGGGAUGGAGGCCUGGGGGUUGGGAACCUGUUUCGCUCAUGGUCAAGCCGCAACAAUGGUUGUGGUGAGGGGAGUGGGUAAAGAAGCGCCGGCUAACUACGUG
rnacentral:rRNA from 1 species